rnacentral:rRNA from 1 species
UACAUGUGGGGCAAGCGUUGUUCGGAAUUACUGGGCAUAAAGGGUGCGUAGGUGGCUUAGUAAGUCAGUGGUGAAAUCGUCCGGCCCAACCGGACACGUGCCAAUGAUACUGCUGAGCUCGAGUGCGUGAGGGGUAGGGGGAACGAGCAGUGUAGCGGUGAAAUGCGUAGAUAUUGCUCGGAAGGCCAAAGCCGAAGGGACCCUACUGGUGCGCAACUGACACUGGAGGCACGAAAGCGUGGGGAGCCAAACAGGG